GGGGUGGAGUUUUGGGGAUAUGGUUUCAAAUUUUUAAAAAUAAAAAAAUAAAUAUUCAAAAAUUCAAAAUAAAAAGAGCAAUUUUGGUCAUUUUCUUUCUUGAGGGCUAUUUUUUUUGAUAAAAACUUAAAAAAAAUUAUUUAAAAGAAUUGCCCUAGAUAUUAUUCAUAAUCAUUAAUUGUUAUAUAUAUGUUAAUCAUAUUAGGUAAUUCCGUAGUUUUUAUUUAAAGAAAGAAAAAAUAGUCUUUUAUACACAACUAAUCAAUUUGAUAGUUAUUCUAAUAAAAAAUAUAAUUUAUAUUUAUAUGGACCAUCUUGACACGUGACUACGAAAACAAGUAAUACCGCAAGAUUAAUAUAUAGGGGAUCUAAAAGGGUAGGAAUAAAACCGGUAUUAUCAUAAUGACAACCGUUUCAAUACCACAUACCUAAUUGUACUAUUUUCCUUUUAAAUAAAAUG
rnacentral:lncRNA from 1 species